CCUACGGGUGGCAGCAGUAGGGAAUAUUGCACAAUGGGCGAAAGCCUGAUGCAGCAACGCCGCGUGCGCGAAGAAGGUCUUCGGAUCGUAAAGCGCUUUUCUGCGAGAUGAGAAAGGACAGUAUCGUAGGAAUAAGUCUCGGCUAACUACGUGCCAGCAGCCGCGGUAACACGUAGGAGGCAAGCGUUAUCCGGAUUCACUGGGCGUAAAGCGCGUGCAGGCGGUUUGGUAAGUUGGGCGUGAAAGCUCCCGGCUCAACUGGGAGAGGUCGUCCAAUACUACCAGGCUAGAGUGCGGUAGAGGAAAAUGGAAUUCCCGGUGUAGUGGUAAAAUGCGUAGAUAUCGGGAGGAACACCAGUGGCGAAAGCGAUUUUCUGGACCGUUACUGACGCUCAGACGCGAAAGCUAGGGUAGCAAACGGGAUUAGAUACCCCGGUAGU
rnacentral:rRNA from 1 species